AGAGGGAGGGCGUCGCCGGCGUUGUGAACCCAUGCGGGCGCAACAGGGUGUGCGCGUGCCUCCGCGGGUUGCGCCGCGGUGGCCGGAGGCGUCGGCACCGCGGGUCAACCGUGUCGGGCAGGAUGGGCACCGCACGCCGUGGUCGUCGGAUCUGUCCGCUGCGUGUCCGGCUCCGGCACCUGGCGGCUUGGCGAGGCAGGCGGGGGAGCGGGGAGGGGAGGGGUGAGGGCAGCGAGGCCCUCACGUGCCGCGAUGGGCGGCGGCGACCUGUUCGCCCUCGACUUUGACCUCGUCUUCUGCGACAGCUGCGGCCAGAGCUCCCUCUCCACCGUCAAGGCUGCCAAGGUGAGGUGGCCGUGGGUGUUUGAGCAGGUCGACUCCGCCAUGGAGGAGUGGAUAGUGGAGCAGAUGCACCCGUUUCCCCGCAAGUCGAUGGUGUGCUGACCCUGUAAGCCUGGCUGGCUGUAUUGCGUCUCGAGGAUGCGACAGAGGUGGCACACGAGCCGACGAAAGAGGAAUAAUUGAAACCCCAAUGCCUCCACACAUUCUUGCUCCCUGACAAUGGGAGUAGUAGGUUUGGUGCCCGUGGUGUUCGUGCUCAUUGGCGGGAAGGUGCAAGGAGGUUCCUUGCUGGUUCCUUGCUGGUUGGAUGGCGUUCAUGCGCAACCCCGGCACCUACUAAGUACUGCCUCGGCUACAACCUCCCUCAGUGAGCUCUAUCUUCCUCAUGUUACUCUGCUUUGGCUGCAUGGAGGGAGCCCUCGAGCUCCCUCAGUGAUUUGGAAGAUCUGCCCGUCCAUUGUGUUUCCUUUAUGUGUUUCUGGCCGUUGGAUUGAGGCGUUGGACGACCUCGACCGUCGGGUCGAGAGCUUGACAGUGUCGCAAUGAAUAUUCCUGCUCGUUCGUGCCACCGCCUGUAAAAUUGGGUGGCCGCCGAGGGCAUUCUCAUCAUUUUGCACACAUCCGUAUAAAAGCAGCACGCCCGUGGUGAAAGCCCUACCCACUUCUCUCCUUUCCCACUCCUUAGUCCUUGCCCCGACUCUGGUUGUUGUUCAUGUUCAGUUGCUGUGAUAGGAGCUCCUGUGAUGCUCUGGUUUACAUGUGGGGGCCCUGGUCCUAUAGCUAUGCUCCUGGAUUUGCUAAAUUGACCAGUGGCGUUGGUGCUGGGGCGAUGAUGAUCGGCCGUGGCUGAAAUAAUUGCGCCUUUGAGCAAUCGAGGCACCUGUGGGUAUCAAGUUGGAUCCUCCCUCUUGUCUCUUGAUUCCUUUUUGAUCCUGUGAUACUUGUUGUUCUGUCCUUGGAUGGUCAUUCUUGUUGA